rnacentral:rRNA from 1 species
GACGAACGCUGGCGGCGUGCUUAACACAUGCAAGUCGAACGGAAAGGCCCUGCUUUUGUGGGGUUCUCUAGUGGCUAACGGAUGAGUAACACGUGAGUAACCUGCCCUUGACUUUGGGAUAACUUCAAGUAACUGGGGCUAAUACUGGAUAGUAGCUCCUGCUGCAUGGUGGGGGUUGGAUAGUUUCGGCGGUUGGGGAUGGACUCGCGGCUUAUCAGCUUGUUGGUGGGGUAGUGGCUUACCAAGGCUUUGACGGGUAGCCGGCCUGAGAGGGUGACCGGGCACAUUGGGACUGAGAUACGGACCAGACGGCUACGGGAGGCAGCAGGGGGGAAUAUUGCACAAUGGGCGGAAGCCUGAUGCAGCAACGCCGCGGGCGGGAUGAAGGCCUUCGGGUUGUAAACCGAGUACGCCUGUGACGAAGCGUGAGUGACGGUAAUGGGUAAAGAAGCACCGGCUAACUACGUG